rnacentral:lncRNA from 1 species
GUUUCCGCCCUUUGAACUGUGAUACAACAGCGCCACCGUGUGGCGGGAAAGAGCCGCUCAUCAUCACAAACAUCAUCCACUGAUGCGAACCAGGGCAGCUGUGUAUCUCUUUCUGAGUGAUGAGGAGUAACCCUCCUGAGAAUUGGCCGUUGGUUCGGGCUGAAUGAUCUGUCGUCUCUCAUUCGCCGGGCCUUCAUUCUGUCCCGCUGUCCUCCGCUGGGAUGGGCCCGCGAACCUCUGCUGUCUCAACUGAUCAUCUGCUUAAGUGACAGCGCACACAUAGCUAACCAGAGCACUGACAAACCCAAAUAACUCAGCGCUGAAUACCACGGAUCACUGGUUUCAGAGGAAAUAUACGGCAGCCGUAAGAAAGAGGAAACCGUGAUUGUUGAGGGGAACAUCAGGACUGUGACUGUGUUCAAAGUGAGCAAAGCUGAGCUCAUCUAAAGCGUUGUUAUGUUGAUGAGUAGACGUGAAUCGUUAUCCUGUCAUAAUUUCUAUAUAUGGAAGUCCAAUUAUGCCAUGUAAGAAAAAAAAAUCAUGCUUUGGUAAGUCAU